rnacentral:piRNA from 1 species
UACCACUUCUGUGACCGGACCCUGAAGUC